GUGGGGGAUAUUGCACAAUGGGGGAAACCCUGAUGCAGCGACGCCGCGUGGAGGAAGAAGGUUUUCGGAUUGUAAACUCCUGUCGUUAGGGACGAUAAUGACGGUACCUAACAAGAAAGCACCGGCUAACUACGUGCCAGCAGCCGCGGUAAAACGUAGGGUGCAAGCGUUGUCCGGAAUUACUGGGUGUAAAGGGAGCGCAGGCGGGAAGACAGGUUGGAAGUGAAAACCAUGGGCUCAACCCAUGAAUUGCUUUCAAAACUGUUUUUCUUGAGUAGUGCAGAGGUAGAUGGAAUUCCCGGUGUAGCGGUGGAAUGCGUAGAUAUCGGGAGGAACACCAGUGGCGAAGGCGGUCUACUGGGCACCAACUGACGCUGAGGCUCGAAAGCAUGGGUAGCAAACAGGAUUAGAUACCCGGGUAGUCC
rnacentral:rRNA from 1 species